rnacentral:rRNA from 1 species
UACGGAGGGAGCUAGCGUUAUUCGGAAUUACUGGGCGUAAAGCGCACGUAGGCGGCUUUGUAAGUCAGAGGUGAAAGCCUGGAGCUCAACUCCAGAACUGCCUUUGAGACUGCAUCGCUUGAAUCCAGGAGAGGUGAGUGGAAUUCCGAGUGUAGAGGUGAAAUUCGUAGAUAUUCGGAAGAACACCAGUGGCGAAGGCGGCUCACUGGAGCUGGUAUUGACGCUGAGGUGCGAAAGCGUGGGGAGCAAACAGG